GUUUAAUUAUGUUAGGUGAGGCUCCUAUAUAGACAUAUGCUGCUGCCCCGAAACAUCGAGAGAUGCCAAUGGGUGAACAGGUAUUACCGUAGUAAGGUUUUACUUAAUGCAGCUGGAUGAAAAUCUAAAGCUAUAUAGUGCUAAAACUCGUACGAUUAAAAAAGUUU
rnacentral:sRNA from 2 species